GCCAUGGGCUUGUGUGAUGGCUUCCACUGGGGCAGGGUGGGGACCAAGUUCCUGGUCUGCAGGGACCAUCCCUCCCAUGGGGCUCAUGCCUGCUACCCUCCUCUCCUAGGACAAGUCUGUCGACCAGGAUCUCCCUGAGGAGAUCAGCCAGCUGAAGGAGGCGCAGUCCCACAUGCAAGGAGAAAUCCGCAUGAUCCAGGAGGCGCUUGGCUUGGGGAACGUCCAGGAUGGUGCCGGCCGGCUGCAAGGCCUCUGCAACCUCAGGACUCUGGCCGGUGAUAUGGAAAUGCUGAAGGAAAGGCUGAGCCUGUACCCGGACCCAGAGGAGGUCAACAACAUGGUGCACUGGGACGUGCUGGAGGAUUGCCUGUUGGGCAGCAAGGGAGAACGAGGCAGAGAUGGAGGAAGACCUGGAGGAGGAGGAGGAGAAGAAGGAGACCAGUCUGCCACCACCAAGUCUCCCACUUUAGAUGUGGAAACCCCCCGUGGGGCAAGCUCAGUGCUGGAACCCAGAGAGAGCUCAGUGGGGCUGAAGGAUCCAGGGACAGCUCUACCGGUCCCUAAGCAGCAGGCAGGCGUUCCCUCAGAUCAGAGGAGGGAUGUUAGCACCACAGCGAUGAUGCAGACGGUGUCUCAGGCUGUGCAGACCACCAGCCU
rnacentral:lncRNA from 14 species